CGGCUUAACACAUGCAAGUCGAGGGGCAGCAUGCUUUUAGCUUGCUAAGGCCGAUGGCGACCGGCGCACGGGUGAGUAACACGUAUCCAACCUGCCGUCUACUCUUGGACAGCCUUCUGAAAGGAAGAUUAAUACAAGAUGGCAUCAUGAGUCCGCAUGUUCACAUGAUUAAAGGUAUUCCGGUAGACGAUGGGGAUGCGUUCCAUUAGAUAGUAGGCGGGGUAACGGCCCACCUAGUCUUCGAUGGAUAGGGGUUCUGAGAGGAAGAUCCCCCACAUUGGAACUGAGACACGGUCCAAACUCCUACGGGAGGCAGCAGUGAGGAAUAUUGGUCAAUGGGCGAGAGCCUGAACCAGCCAAGUAGCGUGAAGGAUGACUGCCCUAUGGGUUGUAAACUUCUUUUAUAAAGGAAUAAAGUCGGGUAUGGAUACCCGUUUGCAUGUACUUUAUGAAUAAGGAUCGGCUAACUCCGUGCCAGCAGCCGCGGUAAUACGGAGGAUCCGAGCGUUAUCCGGAUUUAUUGGGUUUAAAGGGAGCGUAGAUGGAUGUUUAAGUCAGUUGUGAAAGUUUGCGGCUCAACCGUAAAAUUGCAGUUGAUACUGGAUAUCUUGAGUGCAGUUGAGGCAGGCGGAAUUCGUGGUGUAGCGGUGAAAUGCUUAGAUAUCACGAAGAACUCCGAUUGCGAAGGCAGCCUGCUAAGCUGCAACUGACAUUGAGGCUCGAAAGUGUGGGUAUCAAACAGGAUUAGAUACCCUGGUAGUCCACACGGUAAACGAUGAAUACUCGCUGUUUGCGAUAUACGGCAAGCGGCCAAGCGAAAGCGUUAAGUAUUCCACCUGGGGAGUACGCCGGCAACGGUGAAACUCAAAGGAAUUGACGGGGGCCCGCACAAGCGGAGGAACAUGUGGUUUAAUUCGAUGAUACGCGAGGAACCUUACCCGGGCUUAAAUUGCAGAUGAAUUACGGUGAAAGCCGUAAGCUGCAAGGCAUCUGUGAAGGUGCUGCAUGGUUGUCGUCAGCUCGUGCCGUGAGGUGUCGGCUUAAGUGCCAUAACGAGCGCAACCCUUGUUGUCAGUUACUAACAGGUUCUGCUGAGGACUCUGACAAGACUGCCAUCGUAAGAUGUGAGGAAGGUGGGGAUGACGUCAAAUCAGCACGGCCCUUACGUCCGGGGCUACACACGUGUUACAAUGGGGGGUACAGAGGGCCGCUACCACGCGAGUGGAUGCCAAUCCCAAAAACCUCUCUCAGUUCGGACUGGAGUCUGCAACCCGACUCCACGAAGCUGGAUUCGCUAGUAAUCGCGCAUCAGCCACGGCGCGGUGAAUACGUUCCCGGGCCUUGUACACACCGCCCGUCAAGCCAUGGGAGCCGGGGGUACCUGAAGUGCGUAACCGCGAGGAGCGCCCUAGGGUAAAACUGGUGACUG
rnacentral:rRNA from 1 species